rfam:Triticum aestivum genome assembly, contig: Triticum_aestivum_CS42_TGACv1_scaffold_556719_7AL
UAAUUACUACCUCCGUUCGGAAUUAACUGUCACUGAAAUGAGUGUAUCUAGACGGGUUUCAGUGUGUAGACUCACUCAUUUCAGCGACAGUUAAUUCCGAACGGAGGAAGUACAUG